GGGCUCACACAAGCGGUGGAGGAUGUGGCUUAAUUCGAGGAUACGCGAAGAACCUUAUCCUGGUCUUGACAUGUUUAGGAACCUCGGUGAAAGUCGAGGGUGCCCUUCGGGAGCCUUUACACAGGUGCUGCAUGGCCGUCGUCAGCUCGUGUCGUGAGGUGUCAGUUAAGUCCUAUAACGAGCGCAACCCCUAUCGUUAGUUGCCAGCGGGUAAUGCCGGGAACUCUAACGAAACUGCCAGUGCAAACUGUGAGGAAGGUGGGGAUGACGUCAAAUCAUCACGGCCCUUACGUCCUGGGCUACACACGUGCUACAAUGGCCGGUACAGAGAGCAGCCACUGCGCGAGCAGGAGCGAA
rnacentral:rRNA from 1 species